ACGGCUUUCAUCAUUUACGUAAUUAGAAACCUUACCUGGCACAAGGACCAAUUUCUAAUAAGGUCUGGUUUGUUAUCUUAUUAUGUGAAAAGUCUUGUGAUUACGGACUAUUACCAAUGAUUUUUUAGAACUAAAAUUGUUAUUUGGAUAUUUGUAUCUUGAUGUAAAUGUACCCUGCUGGAAAAAAAGCACAAUGCUUAUUUAUUUUACCAGCUAAACUCUUCUAAUUGAUCGUCGCAGCUGAUCUAUUCUGGUUAUAGUUGCGGUCAAGGUUGGUUCUUUACACCUUGUACAAGUGAUCCACGAUUAAGGGACUAACAAAUAUUUUAAGGCUGCAUGUCAAAAAGGUCAAUUUCUCAUAAUGGGAGCAAAUUACUGUUCCGUCAAGUGUAAGAGCUAUUGUUGCUUUAAAUCUUCAUAACUAUGGAAGUGGA